rnacentral:rRNA from 1 species
CCUACGGGUGGCAGCAGUAGGGAAUAUUGCUCAAUGGGGGAAACCCUGAAGCAGCAACGCCGCGUGAAGGAUGAAGGUUUUCGGAUUGUAAACUCCUUUUGUUAGAGAAGAUAAUGACGGUAUCUAACGAAUAAGCACCGGCUCACUCCGUGCCAGCAGCCGCGGUAAUACGGAGGGUGCAAGCGUUACUCGGAAUCACUGGGCGGAAAGAGCGCGUAGGCGGGAUAGCAAGUCAGAUGUGAAAUCCUAUGGCUUAACCAUAGAACUGCAUUUGACACUGUUAUUCUAGAGUAUGGGAGAGGUAGGUGGAAUUCUUGGUGGAGGGGUAAAAUCCGUAGAGAUCAAGAGGAAUACUCAUUGCGAAGGCGACCUGCUAGAACAUAACUGACGCUGAUGCGCGAAAGCGUGGGGAGCAAACAGGAUUAGAUACCCGUGUAGUC